GCGGGGGUGGCGGAACAGGUAGACGCGCUAGGUUGAGGGCCUAGUGGCCUCCGGGCUGUGGGAGUUCGAGUCUCCCCCUCCGCACCA
rnacentral:tRNA from 2 species